CCUACGGGAGGCAGCAGUGGGGAAUAUUGCACAAUGGGGGAAACCCUGAUGCAGCAACGCCGCGUGAGUGAAGAAGUAUUUCGAUAUGUAAAGCUCUAUCAGCAGGGAAGAAAAUGACGGUACCUGAAGAAGAAGCCCCGGCUAACUACGUGCCAGCAGCCGCGGUAAUACGUAGGGGGCAAGCGUUAUCCGGAUUUACUGGGUGUAAAGGGGGCGCAGACGGCGAUGCAAGCCAGGAGUGAAAGCCCGGGGCCCAACCCCGGGACUGCUCUUGGACCUGCGUGGCUAGAGUGCAGGAGGGGCAG
rnacentral:rRNA from 1 species